GGCUAGAUAGCUCAGUUGGUAGAGCAAAGGACUGAAAAUCCUUGUGUCGGCGGUUCAAUUCCACCUCUAGCCACCA
rnacentral:tRNA from 1 species